rnacentral:tRNA from 1 species
CAAAGGGUAGUUUAAUUUAAAAUGCUAGUUUUGGGGGCUAGAGAUGGGUUUCCUUCCUUUGA